GGAAUCUUGCGCAAUGGGCGAAAGCCUGACGCAGCCACGCCGCGUGCGGGAUGAAGGCCCUAGGGUUGUAAACCGCUUUUAACAGGAACGAAAAUGACGGUACCUGUAGAAUAAGGUGCGGCCAACUACGUGCCAGCAGCCGCGGUGACACGUAGGCACCAAGCGUUGUCCGGAUUUAUUGGGCGUAAAGAGCUCGUAGGCGGUUCAGUAAGUCGGGUGUGAAAACUCUGGGCUUAACCCAGAGACGCCACUCGAUACUAUUGUGACUAGAGUUCGGUAGGGGAGCGGGGAAUUCCUAGUGUAGCGGUGAAAUGCGCAGAUAUUAGGAGGAACACCGGUGGCGAAGGCGCCGCUCUGGGCCGAUACUGACGCUGAGGAGCGAAAGCGUGGGUAGCAAACAGGAUUAGAUACCCUGGUAGUCCACGCCGUAAACGGUGGGCACUAGGUGUGGGUUCCAACCAACGGAAUCCGCGCCGUCGCUAACGCAUUAAGUGCCCCGCCUGGGGAGUACGGCCGCAAGGUUAAAACUCAAAGGAAUUGACGG
rnacentral:rRNA from 1 species